rnacentral:rRNA from 1 species
AGUGAACGCUGGCGGCGUGCUUAACACAUGCAAGUCGAACGAGAACGGAUUAUAGCUUGCUAUAAUUGUCAGCUAAGUGGCGCACGGGUGAGUAAUGUAUAGGUAAUAUGCCUCUUACUAAGGGAUAACAAAUGGAAACGUUCGCUAAUACCUUAUACUCCUUAUUAACAGAAGUUAAUAAGGGAAAGAUUUAUUGGUAAGAGAUUAGCCUGUAUUGUAUCAGUUAGUUGGUGGGGUAAUAGCUUACCAAGACUAUGACACAUAACUGGUUUGAGAGGAUGAUCAGUCACACUGGAACUGAGACACGGUCCAGACUCCUACGGGAGGCAGCAGUGGGGAAUAUUGCACAAUGGACGAAAGUCUGAUGCAGCAACGCCGUGUGGAGGAUGACACAUUUCGGUGCGUAAACUCCUUUUAUAUGAGAAGAUAAUGACGGUAUUAUAUGAAUAAGCACCGGCUAACUCCGUGCCAGCCGCCGCGGUAA